UACAGAGGUCCCAAGCGUUGUUCGGAUUCACUGGGCGUAAAGGGUGCGUAGGCGGCCGGGUAAGUCUGAUGUGAAAUCCCGCAGCUCAACUGCGGAACUGCAUCGGAUACUCUCCGGCUAGAGGAAUGGAGGGGAGACUGGAAUUCUCGGUGUAGCAGUGAAAUGCGUAGAUAUCGAGAGGAACACCAGUGGCGAAGGCGAGUCUCUGGACAUUCCCUAACGCUGAGGCACGAAAGCCAGGGGAGCAAACGGG
rnacentral:rRNA from 1 species